AUUGAACGCUGGCGGCAGGCUUAACACAUGCAAGUCGAGCGGAGAUGAGGUGCUUGCACCUUAUCUUAGCGGCGGACGGGUGAGUAAUGCUUAGGAAUCUGCCUAUUAGUGGGGGACAACAUUCCGAAAGGAAUGCUAAUACCGCAUACGCCCUACGGGGGAAAGCAGGGGAUCUUCGGACCUUGCGCUAAUAGAUGAGCCUAGGUCGGAUUAGCUAGUGGGUGGGGUAAAGGCCUACCGAGGCGACGAUCUGUAGCGGGUCUGAGAGGAUGAUGCGCCACACUGGGACUGAAAGACGGCCCCGACUCCCACGGGAGGCAGCAGUGGGGAAUAUUGGACAAUGGGGGGAAGCCGGAUCCAGCCAUGCCGCGUGUGUGAAGAACGCCUUUUGGUUGUAAAGCACUUUAAGCGAGGAGGAGGCUACCUGGAUUAAUACUCUAGGAUAGUGGACGUUACUCGCAGAAUAAGCACCGGCUAACUCUGUGCCAGCCGCCGCCGUAAGAC
rnacentral:rRNA from 1 species